ensembl:lncRNA
UCUGUCUUCUAGGCAUCACUAAGAAAUCUAUAUAGUCCUACCUCCCAGAAGAUGAGUGAAGGUGUUACAGUUAGGAUGACUGUUGACAUGAGGCUCUCAGAGGUUCACCACAAAUCGGAAGGACAAGAUUGAGAUUGCCAUUCUUACGGUCUUUCCAUAGUCUCCCCUUGCAAUUAGAAUUGACCAUCACUGGGGACCUCAUCUAUUAGAUGAAGGAUGUCUAGAAAGCCUCUGGACAGGCAGCAUGGCAGAAAUCAACUCUUUCCAAAAAAAAAAAAAAAAAAAAAAAAAAAAGGCCUGCUGCUGACACUGGAUAGAGCACAAACAAGCUCUCUGUCUGACUCCUUCAGCUCUUGCAUAUCCCCUUGGCUAACAUUUCAGAGCUUCUGAUUCUUCAGACAUCAGCUUUUUGAUACUGAAGAGAUUGUUCUACCUGAUGAGCCCAGGCCUAGAAGAUGGACUACAUCCAAGAAGCCUGGCCCAUCUAAGGCCAAGUCACAUCUUUAAGAAAUAUUUGAAAGCAUUUGUGCACGGGAUAAAGGUGCAAGGACCAAAGUCUCCUUAGACAUUCCAGCCUACAGAGGGUCUGACAGACUCAGGUCAAAGGUUACGUCUGAAGCCUAGAUCAUGAAGAAGGCCCCACUCCACAGGAGAAGUCUGUGGCUGAUGCUGUUGCAACCAGGACUAUGAUUGUGAAACUUGUGUCUGUGGAUAGCAGAUUCACGAAUCUUGUGCCCAGAGGUCAAAAUAAACCUGUCAGUCCGGGAGUCUUAACAAGAAUGAUACUCUGG